GGAUAUAGCUCAAUGGUAGAGCACUUGCCUAGCAUGUACAAGACCUGGAUUCAAUCCCCAGUACUG
rnacentral:tRNA from 1 species